rnacentral:rRNA from 1 species
AUUGAACGCUGGCGGCAGGCCUAACACAUGCAAGUCGAACGAGUGGCGGACGGGUGCGGAAUAUAUGGGAAUCUGCUCGAUCGCGGGGGAUAACGUCGGGAAACUGACGCUCAUACCGCAUACGAUCGAAUGAGCCCAGGUGGGAUUAGCUAGUAGGCGGGGUAACGGCCCACCUAGGCGACGACCCGUAGCUGGUCUGAGAGGAUGAUCAGACACACUGGAACGGAGACACGGUCCAGACUCCUACGGGAGGCAGCAGUGGGGAAUAUUGGACAAUGGGCGCAAGCCUGAUGCAGCCAUGCCGCGUGGGUGAAGAAGGCCUUCGGGUGGUAAAGUACUUUUGGUGGGAAGGCGGUACCCGCAGAAGAAGCACCGGCUAACUUCGUGCCAGCAGCCGCGGUAAUAC